rnacentral:rRNA from 1 species
AUGUGCAGCAGGCUUAACACAUGCAAGUCGAGCGCCCCGCAAGGGGAGCGGCAGACGGGUGAGUAACGCGUGGGAAUCUACCCUUUUCUACGGAAUAACGCAGGGAAACUUGUGCUAAUACCGUAUGAGCCCUUCGGGGGAAAGAUUUAUCGGGAAAGGAUGAGCCCGCGUUGGAUUAGCUAGUUGGUUGGGUAAAGGCCUACCAAGGCGACGAUCCAUAGCUGGUCUGAGAGGAUGAUCAGCCACAUUGGGACUGAGACACGGCCCAAACUCCUACGGGAGGCAGCAGUGGGGAAUAUUGGACAAUGGGCGCAAGCCUGAUCCAGCCAUGCCGCGUGAGUGAUGAAGGCCCUAGGGUUGUAAAGCUCUUUCACCGGUGAAGAUAAUGACGGUAACCGGAGAAGAAGCCCCGGCUAACUUCGUGCCAGCAGCCGCGGUAAUACGAAGGGGGCUAGCGUUGUUCGGAAUUACUGGGCGUAAAGCGCACGUAGGCGGAUUGUUAAGUGAGGGGUGAAAUCCCAGGGCUCAACCCUGGAACUGCCUUUCAUACUGGCAAUCUAGAGUCCAGAAGAGGUGAGUGGAGUUCCGAGUGUAGAGGUGAAAUUCGUAGAUAUUCGGAGGAACACCAGUGGCGAAGGCGGCUCACUGGUCUGGAACUGACGCUGAGGUGCGAAAGCGUGGGGAGCAAACAGGAUUAGAUACCCUGGUAGUCCACGCCGUACACGAUGAAUGUUAGCCGUCGGGCAGUUUACUGUUCGGUGGCGCAGCUAACGCAUUAAACAUUCCGCCUGGGG